GGCAAUGUGAUUUAAUGGUAGAGUGCUUGCCUAGCAUGCAUGAAGUCCUGGGUUCAAUUCCUCAGUUCCA
rnacentral:tRNA from 1 species